rnacentral:rRNA from 1 species
GUGAAAUUGAACUCGCUGUGAAGAUGCAGUGUACCCGCGGCAAGACGGAAAGACCCCGUGAACCUUUACUAUAGCUUGACACUGAACAUUGAGCCUUGAUGUGUAGGAUAGGUGGGAGGCUUUGAAGCGUGGACGCCAGUCUGCGUGGAGCCAACCUUGAAAUACCACCCUUUAAUGUUUGAUGUUCUAACGUGGACCCGUAAUCCGGGUUGCGGACAGUGUCUGGUGGGUAGUUUGACUGGGGCGGUCUCCUCCUAAAGAGUAACGGAGGAGCACGAAGGUUGGCUAAUCCUGGUCGGACAUCAGGAGGUUAGUGCAAUGGCAUAAGCCAGCUUGACUGCGAGCGUGACGGCGCGAGCAGGUGCGAAAGCAGGUCAUAGUGAUCCGGUGGUUCUGAAUGGAAGGGCCAUCGCUCAACGGAUAAAAGGUACUCCGGGGAUAACAGGCUGAUACCGCCCAAGAGUUCAUAUCGACGGCGGUGUUUGGCACCUCGAUGUCGGCUCAUCACAUCCUGGGGCUGAAGUAGGUCCCAAGGGUAUGGCUGUUCGCCAUUUAAAGUGGUACGCGAGCUGGGUUUAGAACGUCGUGAGACAGUUCGGUCCCUAUCUGCCGUGGGCGCUGGAGAACUGAGGGGGGCUGCUCCUAGUACGAGAGGACCGGAGUGGACGCAUCACUGGUGUUCGGGUUGUCAUGCCAAUGGCACUGCCCGGUAGCUAAAUGCGGAAGAGAUAAGUGCUGAAAGCAUCUAAGCACGAAACUUGCCCCGAGAUGAGUUCUCCCUGAGACUUUAGGUCUCCUGAAGGAACGUUGAAGACGACGACGUUGAUAGGCCGGGUGUGUAAGCGCAGCGAUGCGUUGAGCUAACCGGUACUAAUGAACCGUGAGGCUUAACCUUACAACGCCGAAG